UAGGGAAUCUUCCGCAAUGGACGAAAGUCUGACGGAGCAACGCCGCGUGAGCGAAGAAGGCCUUCGGGUCGUAAAGCUCUGUUGUUAGGGAAGAACAAGUAUCGGAGUAACUGCCGGUACCUUGACGGUACCUAACCAGAAAGCCACGGCUAACUACGUGCCAGCAGCCGCGGUAAUACGUAGGUGGCAAGCGUUGUCCGGAAUUAUUGGGCGUAAAGCGCGCGCAGGCGGUCCUUUAAGUCUGAUGUGAAAGCCCACGGCUCAACCGUGGAGGGUCAUUGGAAACUGGGGGACUUGAGUGCAGAAGAGGAGAGUGGAAUUCCACGUGUAGCGGUGAAAUGCGUAGAGAUGUGGAGGAACACCAGUGGCGAAGGCGACUCUCUGGUCUGUAACUGACGCUGAGGCGCGAAAGCGUGGGGAGCAAACAGGAUUAGAUACCCUGGUAGUCCACGCCGUAAACGAUGAGUGCUAAGUGUUAGAGGGUUUCCG
rnacentral:rRNA from 1 species